UACGAAGGGUGCAAGCGUUACUCGGAAUCACUGGGCGUAAAGCGUGCGUAGGUGGUUUGUUAAGUCUGAUGUGAAAGCCCUGGGCUCAACCUGGGAAUUGCAUUGGAUACUGGCAGGCUAGAGUGCGGUAGAGGGUAGUGGAAUUCCCGGUGUAGCAGUGAAAUGCGUAGAGAUCGGGAGGAACAUCCGUGGCGAAGGCGACUACCUGGACCAGCACUGACACUGAGGCACGAAAGCGUGGGGAGCAAACAGG
rnacentral:rRNA from 1 species